rnacentral:lncRNA from 1 species
GAUGGGAUAGCGGUGGAAACAAACAACUAGCAAUGGCGUGAUUGAACUACGACCACAGACACGAACUCAACAAAGCGAAUCUGAAACAAAAAUUGCAAAGGCUAAAAAAGGUGAUAGCACAGCGGAAAGUGUAAAUAUUUUUGGGCUUUUUGAUGGACUAUAGGUGAUGAACAUGAACUGAAUCUAAAGGGGAAACAUGAUAGUAUACCUCACGGCUAACCUGGAAUCCUGAUACCACUUGAUAUAGCACUGGCCCAAUCUUCCGAUAGGUAUAGAUACACACGAUUUGAUGGAGACCCGACGUUGAUGAUCCGGCUUCAAAUCAAACAUAAUUCGAACACUGCAACCGCUACACCACUGCUCCAUUGCUUAUCAACCAAGCACAACUUGAUUGACCUCGUCAAAAAGGCUUUCCCUGCAAGCGAAUUGAAAAACAC